AGAGUUGAUUAUGGCUCAGGAUGAACGCUAGCGACAGGCUUAACACAUGCAAGUCGAGGGGCAGCAUAGAAGUAGCAAUACUUGGUGGCGACCGGCGCACGGGUGAGUAACGCGUAUGCAACCUACCUAUCAGAGGGGAAUAACCCGGCGAAAGUCGGACUAAUACCGCAUAAAACAGGGGCACCGCAUGGUGAUAUUUGUUAAAGAAAUUCGCUGAUAGAUGGGCAUGCGUUCCAUUAGGUAGUUGGUGAGGUAACGGCUCACCAAGCCGACGAUGGAUAGGGGAACUGAGAGGUUGGUCCCCCACACUGGUACUGAGACACGGACCAGACUCCUACGGGAGGCAGCAGUGAGGAAUAUUGGUCAAUGGGCGGGAGCCUGAACCAGCCAAGUCGCGUGAAGGAAAAGAAGGAUCUAUGGUUCGUAAACUUCUUUUGCAGGGGAAUAAAGUGCAGGACGUGUCCUGUUUUGUAUGUACCCUGAGAAUAAGGAUCGGCUAACUCCGUGCCAGCAGCUGC
rnacentral:rRNA from 1 species